GGGGUUGGACAGGCUAGAUGCAGGAAGAUUGUUCCCCGAUGUUGGGGAAGUCCAGGACAAGGGGUCACAGCUUAAGGAUAAGGGGGAAAUCCUUUAAAACCGAGAUGAGAAGAACUUUUUUCACGCAGAGAGUGGUGAAUCUCUGGAACUCUCUGCCACGGAGGGUAGUUGAGGCCACACAGUUCAUUGGCUAUAUUUAAGAGGGAGUUAGAUGUGGCCCUUGUGGCUAAGGGGAUCAGGGGGUAUGGAGAGAAGGCAGGUACGGGAUACUGAGUUGGAUGAUCAGCCAUGAUCAUGUUGAAUGGCGGUGCAGGCUCGAAGGGCCGAAUGGUCUACUCCUGCACCUAAUUUCUAUGUUUCUAUGUUUUCUGGGCCCUGACCCCUGCCCUCCACUCACCUGUGCCCUUGCCCUCGACAGAGCUUGCCGAGGCGGUCGAGGAGUUGAACGGUGAGCUGGCCAGGUUUCAGGAGAACCUGCGGAAGGUCACGGAUCUCCAGGGCACCAUCCUCCGAGUCAAUAAGCUGAUGUGUUUCUGGAUGGAGAAUACACAGGAGUUAAUAAAACACCGCAGGAUGAGGCAUCAACCGCUCCCAAACCUGAAUCCGUGAUGCCAUGGCUCUCUCCUGUCUACCAGCUGGGCCCGGCUGAAGCAAGGAACUCUUUCCCUUCGUUCCCCGAUGCCGUUUUCCGAACCUUCGGAUUCUCUGAUGGGGGGGGGGGGGGGGUCUCCGUCCGUCCCCCCGAGCCGCGAACUGUACGACUUCGCCCCUGGACCCCUCUCCGCAGAAACCCAUCGUCGGGAUCCAGGGAAAGAUGAUGCAGCCCGUGGGCCUUCAAACAAUCACAUCAGGCAUGUAGGCAUCCCUUUAACCUGGUGCCGUGUGUCGUAUCUGUGAUCACUCUUCCUUAAAUAAAUGGGGCAAUAUCUCUGUCUGACUGCA